GAGCGAUCUCCGAGCGAGGCAGCAAGAUGGACGCGGGAUUCUUCCGCGGAACAAGUGCGGAACAGGAUAAUCGGUUCAGCAACAAACAGAAGAAACUACUGAAGCAGCUGAAGUUUGCAGAAUGCCUAGAAAAAAAGGUGGACAUGAGCAUAGUAAAUUUGGAGGUUAUAAAGCCUUGGAUAACAAAAGGAGUAACAGAAAUCCUUGGGUUUGAAGAUGAUGUUGUGAUUGAGUUUAUAUUCAACCAGCUGGAAGUGAAGAAUCCAGACUCCAAAAUGAUGCAAAUCAACCUGACUGGGUUUUUGAAUGGAAAAAAUGCUAGAGAAUUUAUGGGAGAACUGUGGCCCCUGCUGCUAAGGGCACAAGAAAACAUCGCGGGAAUUCCUUCUGCUUUCCUAGAACUGAAGAAAGAAGAAAUAAAACAGAGACAGAUUGAACAAGAAAAACUGGCAUCUAUGAAAAAGCAAGAUGAAGACAAAGACAAGAGGGAUAAGGAAGAAAAAGAAAGCAGAGAAAAAAGGGAGAGAUCUCGGAGCCCAAGAAGACGCAAAUCCAGAUCUCCUUCCCCUAGAAGACGAUCUUCCCCCGUCAGGAGAGAGAGAAAGCGCCGUCAUUCUCGAUCUCCCCGUCACAGAACCAAGAGCCGGAGUCCUUCCUCUGCUCCAGAAAAGAAGGAAAAAAACUCCAGAGCUCCUGGAACCUUCAGUAAAAGUAAAAGAACCUUCAGUACAAGAGGCCGCUUCUACUAGUGACAUCCUGAAAGUUCCCAAGCCUGAACCUAUGCCAGAGCCUAAAGAACCUUCUCCAGAAAAAAAUUCCAAAAAAGAAAAGGAAAAGGAGAAGACUCGACCAAGAUCUCGGUCACGUUCCAAAUCACGAUCCCGGACAAGGUCUCGCUCUCCUUCUCAUACUCGACCUAGACGGCGCCAUAGAUCCCGAUCAAGGUCGUACUCACCUAGAAGGCGCCUGAGCCCAAGAAGGCGCCCAUCUCCUCGAAGAAGAACUCCACCAAGACGAAUGCCUCCUCCACCAAGGCAUAGAAGGAGCAGAUCUCCAGUAGGACGAAGAAGGCGUUCAUCAGCAUCUUUGUCUGGGAGUAGCUCACCAUCCUCUUCAUCUCGUUCCCGGUCACCGCCAAAGAAGCCUCCCAAGAGGACAUCCAGCCCCCCUCGAAAAACUCCCCCUCCUAAAUGAAGGGCAUCACCAUCUCCACCACCAAAGCGUCGGGUCUGCCGCUCUCCACCUCCCAAACAAAGAAGCUCCCCAGUCACCAAAAGACGAUCGCCUUCAUUAUCAUCAAAGCAUAGGAAAGGAUCUUCCCCCAGCCGCUCUACCCGGGAGGCCUGGUCACCACAACCAAACAAACGGCAUUCGCCCUCAUCACGGCCUCGAGCUCCUCAGACCUCCUCAAGUCCUCCACCAGUUCGAAGAGGAGCAUCGUCAUCACCCCAAAGAAGGCAGUCCCCAUCUCCAAGUACUAGACCCAUUAGGAGAGUCUCCAGGACUCCGGAACCUAAAAAGACAAAAAAGGCUGCCUCACCAAGCCCACAGUCUGUAAGGAGGGUCUCAUCCUCCCGAUCUAUCUCCGGAUCUCCUGAGCCUGCAGCUAAAAAGCCCCCAGCACUUCCAUCCCCUGUCCAGUCUCAGUCACCCUCUACCAACUGGUCACCAACUGUACCAGUCAAAAAGGCUAAAAGCCCAGCACCAAGCCCAUCACUGGCGAGAAAUUCAGAUCAAGAAGGAGGUGGAAAGAAAAAGAAGAAAAAGAAGGACAAGAAACACAAAAAAGGAUAAGAAGCACAAGAAGCACAAAAAACAUAAGAAGGAAAAGGCUAUGGCUGCAGCUGCUGCAGCUACUGUGACCCCUGCAGCCAUUGCUGCUGCCACAACCACAUCAACACCAGAAGAACCACAGGCAGCGCAGGAGCCUAAGAAGGAGACUGAAAGUGAACUGAAGAUAACCUUGAUGACUUAGAAAAUCACCUGCGUGAAAAGGCCCUGAGAUCAAUGCAGAAGGCUCAAGUGUCUCCACAGUCUUAG